GCCGGGCAUGGUGGUGCAUGCCUGUAAUCCCAGCUACUCGGGAGGUUGAGGCAGGAGAAUCGCUUGAACCCAGGAGGCAGAGGCUGCAGUGAGCCAAGAUUGUGCUACUGCACUCCAGCCUGGGCGACAAAGUGAAACUCUGUCUCAA
rnacentral:SRP_RNA from 1 species